GGGAAAUGCAGAAUGGUAUUUAUCUUCAGAACAUGCAUGUCCAUCUCAUCGAAAUAAUCAAUCACACACAAUGAAAGCAAAUUUUCAACAAUUCAGAAUCUCCCUAUUAAGAACAAAAUAUUAAAAGUUAUUUUUUACUUAAAUUAAGAAUUAUAAAAUAUCAUUAUUUUCUUCAAUUCCUACUGUUGGGUAGAAUUGCAACUAAUUUCGAACAAAAUUGCUCAAAAAUAGCUGCU
rnacentral:misc_RNA from 1 species